rnacentral:lncRNA from 1 species
AAGAUAUUAGCAUAUGCAACAUAUAGUUCAGUCAUGUACAUAUAUAAAUAUAUAUAUAUAUAUAUAUAUACAGUCCCCUUCUAUUGAGGGAUCUCUUAAAUAAUUUUAUUUGAGGGACGCCCUUUAGGGUACCCUACAAUUCUUUUCCCAAUAAUCCAAACCAUCUAUUUUUUAGGUAUUCAUUCAUAGAUCAUCCUUAUAAAAAAUUAGACAAAUCGGAAACCGU